rnacentral:rRNA from 1 species
UACGGAGGGUGCAAGCGUUAUCCGGAUUUACUGGGUUUAAAGGGUGCGUAGGUGGGUCUGUAAGUCAGUGGUGAAAUCUCCGGGCUUAACCCGGAAACUGCCAUUGAUACUAUAGAUCUUGAAUAUCCUGGAGGUGAGCGGAAUAUGUCAUGUAGCGGUGAAAUGCUUAGAUAUGACAUAGAACACCAAUUGCGAAGGCAGCUCACUACGGGAUUAAUUGACACUGAGGCACGAAAGCGUGGGGAGCAAACAGG